GUCUUGAAACACGGACCAAGGAGUCUAGCAUGUGCGCGAGUCAUUGGGAACAACUAAACCUAAAGGCGUAAUGAAAGUGAAGGUCCGCCUUGCGCGGACCGAGGGAAGAUGGGCGGACGGGCCUAACACGCUCGCCGUUCCGCACUCCCGGGGCGUCUCGUUCUCAUUGCGAGAAGAGGCGCACCAAGAGCGUACACGCUGGGACCCGAAAGAUGGUGAACUAUGCCUGGUCAGGACGAAGUCAGGGGAAACCCUGAUGGAGGUCCGUAGCGAUUCUGACGUGCAAAUCGAUCGUCGGAACUGGGUAUAGGGGCGAAAGACUAAUCGAACCAUCUAGUAGCUGGUUCCCUCCGAAGUUUCCCUCAGGAUAGCUGGCGCUCGUCGCCUACGAGUCUCAUCCGGUAAAGCGAAUGAUUAGAGGCAUUGGGGUCGAAACGGCCUCAACCUAUUCUCAAACUUUAAAUGGGUGAGAUCUCCGGCUUGCUCGAACUACUGAAGCCGCGAGACACGGAUCAGAGUGCCAAGUGGGCCAUUUUUGGUAAGCAGAACUGGCGCUGUGGGAUGAACCAAACGCCGAGUUAAAGCGCCUAAAUCGACGCUUAUGGGAUACCAUGAAAGGCGUUGGUAACUUAAGACAGCAGGACGGUGGCCAUGGAAGUCGGAAUCCGCUAAGGAGUGUUGU
rnacentral:rRNA from 1 species